UACGUAGGGUGCAAGCGUUAAUCGGAAUUACUGGGCGUAAAGCGUGCGCAGGCGGCUUUGCAAGACAGAUGUGAAAUCCCCGGGCUUAACCUGGGAACUGCAUUUGUGACUGCAUGGCUGGAGUGUGGCAGAGGAAGGUGGAAUUCCACGUGUAGCGGUGAAAUGCGUAGAGAUGUGGAGGAACACCGAUGGCGAAGGCAGCCUUCUGGGCCAACACUGACGCUUAUGCACGAAAGCGUGGGGAGCAAACAGG
rnacentral:rRNA from 1 species